GCGACAGGCUUAACACAUGCAAGUCGAGGGGCAGCACAGGUAGCAAUACCGGGUGGCGACCGGCGCACGGGUGAGUAACGCGUAUGCAACUUGCCUAUCAGAGGGGGAUAACCCGGCGAAAGUCGGACUAAUACCGCAUGAAGCAGGGAUCCCGCAUGGGAAUAUUUGCUAAAGAUUCAUCGCUGAUAGAUAGGCAUGCGUUCCAUUAGGCAGUUGGCGGGGUAACGGCCCACCAAACCGACGAUGGAUAGGGGUUCUGAGAGGAAGGUCCCCCACAUUGGUACUGAGACACGGACCAAACUCCUACGGGAGGCAGCAGUGAGGAAUAUUGGUCAAUGGCCGAGAGGCUGAACCAGCCAAGUCGCGUGAGGGAUGAAGGUUCUAUGGAUCGUAAACCUCUUUUAUAAGGGAAUAAAGUGCGGGACGUGUCCCGUUUUGUAUGUACCUUAUGAAUAAGGAUCGGCUAACUCCGUGCCAGCAGCCGCGGUAAUACGGAGGAUCCGAGCGUUAUCCGGAUUUAUUGGGUUUAAAGGGUGCGUAGGCGGCCUUUUAAGUCAGCGGUGAAAGUCUGUGGCUCAACCAUAGAAUUGCCGUUGAAACUGGGGGGCUUGAGUAUGUUUGAGGCAGGCGGAAUGCGUGGUGUAGCGGUGAAAUGCAUAGAUAUCACGCAGAACCCCGAUUGCGAAGGCAGCCUGCCAAGCCAUUACUGACGCUGAUGCACGAAAGCGUGGGGAUCAAACAGGAUUAGAUACCCUGGUAGUCCACGCAGUAAACGAUGAUCACUAGCUGUUUGCGAUACACUGUAAGCGGCACAGCGAAAGCGUUAAGUGAUCCACCUGGGGAGUACGCCGGCAACGGUGAAACUCAAAGGAAUUGACGGGGGCCCGCACAAGCGGAGGAACAUGUGGUUUAAUUCGAUGAUACGCGAGGAACCUUACCCGGGUUUGAACGCAUUCGGACCGAGGUGGAAACACCUUUUCUAGCAAUAGCCGUUUGCGAGGUGCUGCAUGGUUGUCGUCAGCUCGUGCCGUGAGGUGUCGGCUUAAGUGCCAUAACGAGCGCAACCCUUGCCACUAGUUACUAACAGGUAAAGCUGAGGACUCUGGUGGGACUGCCAGCGUAAGCUGCGAGGAAGGCGGGGAUGACGUCAAAUCAGCACGGCCCUUACAUCCGGGGCGACACACGUGUUACAAUGGCGUGGACAAAGGGAGGCCACCUGGCGACAGGGAGCGAAUCCCCAAACCACGUCUCAGUUCGGAUCGGAGUCUGCAACCCGACUCCGUGAAGCUGGAUUCGCUAGUAAUCGCGCAUCAGCCAUGGCGCGGUGAAUACGUUCCCGGGCCUUGUACACACCGCCCGUCAAGCCAUGGGAGCCGGGGGUACCUGAAGUCCGUAACCGAAAGGAUCGGCCUAGGGUAAAACUGGUGACUGGGGCUAAGUCAUAACA
rnacentral:rRNA from 1 species